AUUGAACGCUGGCGGCAUGCCUUACACAUGCAAGUCGAACGGCAGCACGGGAGCAAUCCUGGUGGCGAGUGGCGAACGGGUGAGUAAUAUAUCGGAACGUGCCCGGUCGUGGGGAUAACGUAGCGAAAGCUACGCUAAUACCGCAUACGAUCUACGGAUGAAAGCGGGGGGAUCGCAAGACCUCGCGCGAUUGGAGCGGCCGAUAUCAGAUUAGGUAGUUGGUGAGGUAAAGGCUCACCAAGCCGACGAUCUGUAGCUGGUCUGAGAGGACGACCAGCCACACUGGGACUGAGACACGGCCCAGACUCCUACGGGAGGCAGCAGUGGGGAAUUUUGGACAAUGGGCGCAAGCCUGGUACUACCGACGACAAGUCGCC
rnacentral:rRNA from 1 species